rnacentral:rRNA from 1 species
GAUGAACGCUGGCGGCGUGCCUAAUACAUGCAAGUCGAGCGAACAGAUAAGGAGCUUGCUCCUUUGACGUUAGCGGCGGACGGGUGAGUAACACGUGGGUAACCUACCUAUAAGACUGGAAUAACUCCGGGAAACCGGGGCUAAUGCCGGAUAACAUUUAGAACCGCAUGGUUCUAAAGUGAAAGAUGGUUUUGCUAUCACUUAUAGAUGGACCCGCGCCGUAUUAGCUAGUUGGUAAGGUAACGGCUUACCAAGGCAACGAUACGUAGCCGACCUGAGAGAGUGAUAGGCCACACUGGAACUGAGACACGGUCCAGACUCCUACGGGAGGCAGCAGUAGGGAAUCGGCCGCAAUGGGCGAAAGCCUGACGGAGCAACGCCGCGUGAGUGAUGAAGGUCUUCGGAGCGUAAAACUCUGUUAUUAGGGAAGAACAAAUGUGUAAGUAACUGAGCACGGCUUGACGGUACCUAAUCAGAAAGCCACGGCUAACUACGUG